GUUUUUAUUCCCCUCUCUCUUUCCCCACUCCUCUUCUUUCUCUUCCUUUCUUCUUCGGAUUCUUCAUCCCUCCCUGUUGUUUUUUUCUUCCGUGUAUUUCCAAAAAUCACCAUGGAUCAUCUCGCUUUCAGAUUGUCUUACCCAGGUUGAUAUUCAGGUUAUGAUGGGGCUACUCCAGAUAUAUGAAUUCUGAAGGAGUUAACAAGCACAAUUAGCUGGUGAUCUAUUCUUAGAGGUAAGAGCACAUGCCUAUGUAUAUCAUCUUUGUUCUAUUAAAAAUGCAACAGUUUCCUUUUGUAGAGAUCUCGAGAAAACUGCAAUGUAUUCCUUGCUGGCAUGAUCUCAAGCUUAAAUGGCCUAUAUUCAUUCUGUCACUAUUACAGUUUAUUGGUAUCAAUUGUGGUCAACAAGAUACCUAUUCUUUGCAUUGUUGGGGGACAUGUAAGACAUAUGACAACGAACCUCAGGCAUGUAAAUAAUAGUUAUAAUAGCAGUUACAAACCGAACUUAAAAGAAUUACUUGUAAAUUUCUGGCAAUUACAUACACCCAGGUAACAUAAGUUGGAUUUGGAAGUACAAGCAGCACUCAAAUUGAUUGUUCACACCACCCUUUCUUCAUAUUGAUUGUAAAUUAUAACGUUAUUUUUAGUUUAAUCAGUUUAUUAUAAGUAUUUAGUUUUCUAAAUGGUUAUUAAUCCCUACUCCGAGUUCUUUUCAUGUUGCAUUUGGAGUUAAGAAGUAUAUGUUCUCUUUAUGACUUUUUGCUUGAUGAACUGUUUAUUCUGGAGGAGCAUGAUACCCAUGAUCCAAAAGGACACUGCUCUAUGGUAUUGCCAGUUCUUUAAAAGAGGUCAAAAAUGUUGAGAUCGUUGCUGCUCGUGAUGUAGUCUUUGCUCUUGCACAAUCAGGAAUAUGUGCUGCAUUUGGUGGAGAUAAAAUCAAAUGAAGCUGAAAAUAAGUGUCUAAGAAGAGAGUAUCAUCAAAAGAUUUCAACUCUCGAAAGAAGAGUUAUAUAUUGAAACAUGCUGAGCGACAACAUCAGAUUUACAUGAAUGUGUCAAGGCCCUGCAAGGUGAAAUGACGAUUAUUUGUAGCGGCCGGAUCGCUGAUGCUUUAUCGGUUGCGUUAUUCGGAUGUGGGCAAGGAAGAAGAGGUUAAAGAGGAGGCAUUGGCAAAAAAUGAUUGACUUGUGAAUAAUCGAAGUUACUAAGACAUCGAAUUGUUAUCAUUUAUCCAGAGGAUUUCCACUUUGGUUUUCCAUUAGUCCAUUUGAACAUCUAUAUGCUUUUAAGGAGAAAACCCUUUUUAAUGAAAGUUAUGCUCAAAAGUAUGAAAACCCGUAAAAUGUGAGUAAAGCUCGGUUAAAGAACAGAAGGUGAAAUUAUGAGCAUGAAAAAAAAAGUCAGUGAUAAAGUUUAUGAAACUUGGUUCUAAGCCUAAUACUUUUUACAGUUCAAAUGGUGGAAGUUAGGCAAAAUUAUUAGCCAUUUUGUUCUCCUCUUUAUAUUUUUCAAGACAUGCAUCCUGAAUGGCUGGGAAGGUUGCAUUGUCACUCAUACAUAGCUUCUUUAUCAGAUCCAAGCGGUUCCAUGAUCAAAGUUGCACAGCUUGUAGAUUGAUACCUACAAGAGAUUGCUAGAGAUGUGAAUGUGCCAUUGUCGAAGUUUAUUGCUUUGACUGUAGCUCUUCCUGAACUCGGCCGAAUCAUGAUGAUCUUUACAAAGCCUUCAAUAUUUAUCUCAAGUCACAUCCAAACCUA